rnacentral:rRNA from 1 species
UACGACUACAUAUCAGGCAUAUCAAUAAGCGGAGGAAAAGAAACUAACAAGGAUUCCCUUAGUAACGGCGAGUGAAGCGGGAAGAGCUCAAAUUUGAAAUCUUAAAGGGUUUCCCUUUACGAAUUGUAGUUUAAAGAAGUGUUUUCUGUUGGAGUUUCGGUAAAAGUUCUUUGGAAUAGGACAUCAUAGAGGGUGAGAAUCCCGUAUUUGACCGUUACUUUCCAGCUGUGUGAUACACUUUCAAAGAGUCGGAUUGUUUGGGAAUGCAGUCCAAGAUGGGUGGUAAAUUUCAUCUAAAGCUAAAUAUUGGCGAGAGACCGAUAGCGAACAAGUACCGUGAGGGAAAGAUGAAAAGAACUUUGAAAAGAGAGUUAAACAGUACGUGAAAUUGUCAAAAGGGAAGCGUUUGACACCAGUGUUGUUUAGUUGAAAAUCAAUUCAAUAGUUUUUGAUUCUAAGUAGUAUUGACUUCAUCAGCUUGCUGCUUUCUUCUCAGAAAUUAUUGAAUGCACUUUUCAGUUAACAAGUCAACAUCAAUUUCUUUUGUUGUAAAAGGGUAAGAGGAAGGUGGCUUGCGCUUCGGCUCAAGUGUUUAUAGCCUUUUAUCUCUGCAAUCGGAGAGAUUGAGGUCUGCAGCGUAGAUCCUUCGGGGUUAGAUACAUUGGUGCUAAGCUAUAGCCUUGUAUAGACAACUUGUUGACUAUGCUCAGUCAUGUAGCUUACUCGCUGAUGCUAUUUUACCUACGCUUAGGAUGUUGAUCUACAGAGCGAGAGU